rnacentral:rRNA from 1 species
AUUGAACGCUGGCGGCAGGCUUAACACAUGCAAGUCGAGCGAGCGGCGGACGGGUGAGUAAUGUCUGGGAAACUGCCUGAUGGAUGGGGAUAACUACUGGAAACGGUAGCUAAUACCGCAUACCAUCAGAUGUGCCCAGAUGGGAUUAGCUAGUAGGUGGGGUAAUGGCUCACCUAGCCGACGAUCCCUAGCUGGUCUGGGAGGAUGACAGGCGAGCCGGGAACGGAGACACGGUCAAGACUCCUACAGGAGGCAGAAGUGGGGAAUAUGGCACAAUGGGCGCAAGCCUGAUGCAGCCAUGCCGCGUGUGUGAAGAAGGCCUUCGGGUUGUAAAGCACUUUCAACGAGGAGGCGUUACUCGCAGAAGAAGCACCGGCUAACUCCGUGCCAGCAGCCGCGGUAAUUC